rnacentral:rRNA from 1 species
UGGGGAAUAUUGGACAAUGGGGGCAACCCUGAUCCAGCCAUGCCGCGUGAGUGAUGAAGGCCUUCGGGUUGUAAAGCUCUUUUGGCGGGGACGAUGAUGACGGUACCCGCAGAAUAAGCCCCGGCUAACUUCGUGCCAGCAGCCGCGGUAAGACGAAGGGGGCUAGCGUUGUUCGGAAUUACUGGGCGUAAAGCGAGUGUAGGCGGUUGCCGUAGUCAGGUGUGAAAGCCUUGAGCUCAACUCAAGAAAUGCACUUGAUACUGGGUGACUAGAGGACCGGAGAGGAUAGUGGAAUUCCCAGUGUAGUGGUGAAAUACGUAGAGAUUGGGAAGAACACCAGUGGCGAAGGCGGCUAUCUGGACGGUUACUGACGCUAAGACUCGAAAGCGUGGGGAGCAAACAGGAUUAGAUACCCUGGUAGUCCACGCCGUAAACGAUGGGUGCUAGACGUUGGCGAGCUUGCUCGUCAGUGUCGCAGCUAAACGCGUUAAGCACCCCGCCUGGGGAGUACGGCCGCAAGGUUNAAAUCAAAGAAUUGCGGGGUCUAGCUGUUUUUCCC